ensembl:lncRNA
UUGGUAGGUUUUUAUUUCUUUUUCUCCUUAAACCACAGCUGGUGUAUAACAAUCACCAGUUGCUUCAUCCUGUCACCAACACAGAGGGCAGAUGCUCACUGGGCACUACACACACCACAAACCUGUGUGAACACGGCAAAGCUCUUCCUAUGUGUUAAUAGACACAUCUCUACAAUACAGCAUCAUAACCAUCAUCAUCACCAUCAUCAUCGCAAUCUUCAUCACCACCUUCUCCAGUCUGUGCACCAGUUGGUUCAACAGCCGUGCCUCUGACUUCUUCCCAUGCACAUGUUCUGCCACAGCCGAUCGCGCUAUUUAAGGACCUAUUUCAGACUUCAAAACCAAUGGUGCCAAAUCUGCAUCGAUACCGUUUUAAUUUCACACUGUUUCAAUUUCACCACAUUACUUUUAUAGAAAGAAAUUAAAUAAUCAAGCCCUUUAGAACAAAGAGCUACCAAGCUGCUGAUACAGUAGCCUUCCAUACUCAUGACAAACACUUAUUAGUGCCUUCUUAGCAUUUUCUUUGGCUUUCACACAGAGAACUUCCUUCAAUCACGUGAGGCAUGGCAAACUCCCACCUUGAAGAUGUAACCACAGAAGAUCCUACUGGUUUCAGUGGCAAGAACAUUUUUAGACAUGACACCUUUAUAAAUAUGAGAGAAAGCAGUGUAUUUUAGACCUCUUUAAAGCAAUCAGCAAACCCAUUAGAAUUACAUCAGAAAAGCAGUAUCCUGUACAUUCUACAUACUCGCUUUCAUUUUUGUAUGAAAAUACAUAAGGUGCUUACAUGGGAUGGAAAAAAGAUCGAACUCAUAGUUAAACACUUCCAUUCUCCACUUCUAUAUUCUUUAUAUGUCCCUUAGAAACACUAUUUUCUUAAAUGGUUGAAGGGAAUAUUGCUGAAGUGUUGCAGGUGGGGGUAAAUCUCUCUGAUAGAUCAAUAAGCAGCCCAGUUUUAAUUAAAACAGCUGACUGGACCACUACUCACUUAUUAUAGUCUUGUUUUACAGUAUUUCAAAACCCUUAAAUCUCUUUUACUGCAGUCCUCUGGCAUAUAUAAUUCCCUUUUCAGCUUGGUCAAAUUUAGCUGGAAAAUGGAGUUUUGGCAACUGAUACAUUUUAAUGCAACUCCUUGAUUGUGCAAUAUAAAUACACACAGUAAAUAGCAGGACAUUGAGUUGAGCUUUUCACUUUUCUUAAAAAAGGAUAUAUUUUCCUUUCUCCCCAGGCCAAGAUGCACAAGCUCUUUAGAAAUCUUUGGAUAAGGGCUUUCAUUCAAGGUUGAAUUUAUAUAGCAUUUAUAGUGCUAUAUAAAUUAAUAUACUUUUGAUAUUUAAUAUUUACAUAGUGCUUGGUAUUAAUGUUCACAACCCCUGUGUUAUUGAGGAUGGCAAAAAGAGCUGCUUUUUAAUUUGGGUUAUGUGAAGACUUGAUUUUUGGGGCACAGCAGAAACCAAGGUCAUGAUUGCAAGAGGUGCUCAGUAAUAACCCGCAGCUCAAGUCACAAAUGUCUUGAGUACAGAGGCUUGGAAAGGAUGAGGGCCCUCAUGACAACCUGAAUUUCCACAGCCACACGGAUAUACUGCUUUAUGAUAGGACACUGGCUGUUAACAUCAAAGUAAGUGGCAUUCCCCAGUGCAGGCAUGACAUACCAAACAGGUACCUGAUUCACUUUGGAGUAUUUUUAAUGAGACAGCUUGAUUACAGCAGCGUUAUCCUCAUUCUUCUGAAAAGCUACUUCCAUCUGGCAGCUUUUGGGGAAGCCUCACAGAUAAGCACAACCUCACCUUCAGUAACACAAUCUGCUCCUAGUACUACACUGCAGACACUCCAGCAUGUAAGUCCUGCCACGAGGCUGCAACACAGCAUGUUCCUGACCACCAGUGCUCAGCUCACUGUGUAAGAAACCAGCAAUAAAUCAAGAUUUGAAGACUAGCAGAUUCCCCUUCAUACACAGAACAGUUAUCCCCAAAAAAGGAGGUUCUAAGCCACAGGAUCUUGUUCUUUCCUUAAUGCUCAUAUGCAACUUAAUUCAUGACUGCUGGGUAGCAGGGAGGAAGGGAAAUUGGGAUAGAGUCUCCAGCAAAAUGCAAAUGUGAUACAAGCAGGUGAGAAAAUCCCACACUUCCAGCAUGGAAAGGCUUUGGAGGCGGUGGCUUUCAGAUGAGCACUAGUCAACACAGGAACAGCAGGUUACACUGCUGCAGGUAUGCUGACACUCACAGUGGUCAUGGUUAAUUCAGCAUGGAGAUAUAUUGCAGGUAAGAGCUGGUAGUUAUCUGUUGCCUGUGACAACAGUACCAGUUGGAAUGAAUGCUGCAAUGCUGCAGCAUUCCCUAGAACACCUUUCCUCUUGUUAACCCUCUUAAGUAUGUGGCAUCUUACAUUUACUUCCAAGAAUCCCAUUUUAUGUGCUUGGUUCCAGAGCUUUCAGGGCCCUUUUCCCAGUACACCUGUGCUAACAAAGCACAGAGAAUC